GAUGAACGCUGGCGGCGUGCUUAACACAUGCAAGUCGAACGGAAAGGCCGAAGCUUGCUUCGGUACUCGAGUGGCGAACGGGUGAGUAACACGUGGGUGAUCUGCCCUGUACUUCGGGAUAAGCUUGGGAAACUGGGUCUAAUACCGGAUAUGACGAUCUCUUGGAUGGGGUUGUGGAAAGCUUUUGCGGUAUGGGAUGAGCUCGCGGCCUAUCAGCUUGUUGGUGGGGUAAUGGCCUACCAAGGCGUCGACGGGUAGCCGGCCUGAGAGGGUGUACGGCCACAUUGGGACUGAGAGACGGCCCAGACUCCUACGGGGGGCAGCAGUGGGGAAUAUUGCACAAUGGGCGCAAGCCUGAUGCAGCGACGCCGCGUGGGGGAUGACGGCCUUCGGGUUGUAAACUCCUUUCGCAAUCGACGAAGCCUUUUGGUGACGGUAGGUUGAGAAGAAGCACCGGCUAACUACGUG
rnacentral:rRNA from 1 species